CACGUAGGGGGCGAGCGUUGUCCGGAUUCAUUGGGCGUAAAGGGCGCGCAGGCGGCCCGGAAAGUCGGAUGUGAAACUCGGGGCUCAACCCCGAGCGUGCACCCGAUACUGCCGGGCUUGAGGCAGGUAGGGGAGAUCGGAAUUCCUGGUGUAGCGGUGAAAUGCGCAGAUAUCAGGAGGAACACCGGUGGCGAAGGCGGAUCUCUGGGCCUGUCCUGACGCUGAGGCGCGAAAAGCUAGGGGGAGCGAAACAGG
rnacentral:rRNA from 1 species